AACGCACAUUGCGCUCUCUGGUAUUCCGGAGAGCAUGCUUGUUUGAGUAUCAGUAAAACACCCUCAACCUUUUCUUUAUUGAAAAGGCUGGACUUGAGUGAUCCCAACGGUUUUUUUUAAAAGGCUGGCGGGUUGCUUGAAAUGCAGGUGCGGCUGGACACAUCUUCUGAGCUAUAAGCAUUACCUAUUUAGUCCCGUCAAACGGAUUAUUUCUAUUGCUACAGCUAAUAUAAAGGUUGAUUGUCCUGUGCCCGACUGAUGCAGGAAAACAUGGAGAAAUCCUUGUUCAACUCGAUCUCAAAUCAAGUAAGACUACCCGCUGAACUUAA
rnacentral:misc_RNA from 1 species